CUUGUGUGAAGUCCAAGCCUUUUUGCCUGCUGCAGCAGUAGGCAGAAUGUCAUGAACUGCAGGGGCUGAGCCCUGCUCUCCAGCAUCCCCAGAGCUCUGUGCUCACACAUGGGGCUGGGAACUUCCUGCUCAACUGCAGAAGCAAAUGGGAACUUAAAGCCAGGUCAAACAGGCCAUGCAGCAGAGGCUGGAGAACAAAUGCAGAUGUAUCUUUCCUUAACAGAGACUCGAUUUAGUAAUCACUGGAUAAAAGAAAUGAGCUGUUCCCCAGCGUGAGACAGUGGAGUAAACAGUUUGCUCUGGUUUGGGCUCUGCCAGCUCUCAGGGUAUGUGCUGGCACAGACUGUGUCAACACAGAUGUUGGGCAGCAACUUUGAUCUGGGACAAAAUGCACUCAUUAAUGCUGUGUUGUGGUAGAUUGCAGAUCUGAAGACAGUAUAGAGGGAGGAGCCAAUCUGCAUCUCCAGGCUUAAAAAGAAGACCUUACUAAGGACUGCUGAACCCGAACAGCUGCCUUGUGGGAAAUGGGAAGUUGAAUGACGUGAAGCCUUGAGCUCAUCCUGGAAAUCUCCUUCCCUUGCAUCACUCAUCGCCCCUCCAGCACUUGGCACUUCUGUUCAGGGCCAAGGUGGGAAAAAGUCUCUGGAUGCUGCCCCCAAAUUCAGUUGAGAAUGGUGAUUCUGGCACGUUGCUUUGUGCUUUGAAGAGCAGUUAUUUGACCCACCCAGCCUGGGGACAAGCAGCUGUGACAGUGAGGGGUCCCAGGAAGGAACUUGCAGGGUCUCCAGUGUGGUACCCUGGCAGAAGGAGGUUGUGUGUGGGAUCCCGCUGGCCCUGGGCAGAACUGGCUCCUGCCUGACUGUCCCCAGGACCUCCGGGAAAUGCUGCUCCUGUCACCCUGCUGACCCGG